rnacentral:piRNA from 1 species
UAGACUUCUAGAAUUAAGCCCAUGGAAAGACU